GGAGGAGGAGGUGCUGCCUGAGCUGCUGUCCCCUCUACUAGAAGACUAACAGUUAAACUACAGUGUUGAUUCAGGAGGAGGAGGAGGUGGAGGAGGAGGAGGUGCUGCCUGAGCUGCUGUCUCCUCUACUAGACGACUAACAGUUAAACUACAGUGUUGAUUCAGGAGGAGGAGGAGGUGGAGGAGGAGGUGCUGCCUGAGCUGCUGUCUCCUCUACUAGACGACUAACAGUUAAACUACAGUGUUGAUUCAGGAGGAGGAGGAGGAGGAGGAGGAGGUGCUGCCUGAGCUGCUGUCCCCCUCUACUAGACGACUAACAGUUAAACUACAGUGUUGAUUCAGGAGGAGGAGGAGGAGGUGCCUGAGCGGCUGUCUCCUCUACUAGACGACUAACAGUUAAACUAGUGUUGAUUCAGGAGGAGGAGGAGGAGGAGGUGCUGCCUGAGCUGCUGUCUCCUCUACUAGAAGACUAACAGUUAAACUACAGUGUUGAUUCAGGAGGAGGAGGUGCUGCCUGAGCUGCUGUCUCCUCUACUAGACGACUAACAGUUAAACUACAGUGUUGAUUCAGGAGGAGGAGGAGGAGGAGGAGGUGCUGCCUGAGCUGCUGUCUCCUCUACUAGACGACUAACAGUUAAACUACAGUGUUGAUUCAGGAGGAGGAGGAGGAGGAGGAGGAGGUGCUGCCUGAGCUGCUGUCUCCUCUAUUAGACAACUAACAGUUAAACUACAGUGUUGAUUCAGGAGGAGGAGGAGGAGGUGCUGCCUGAGCUGCUGUCUCCUCUACUAGAAGACUAACAGUUAAACUACAGUGUUGAUUCAGGAGGAGGAGGAGGAGGAAGAGGAGGUGCUGCCUGAGCUGCUGUCUCCUCUACUAGACGACUAACAGUUAAACUACAGUGUUGAUUCAGGAGGAGGAGGAGGAGGAGGUGCUACCUGAGCUGCUGUCUCCUCUACUAGACGACUAACAGUUAAACUACAGUGUUGUUUCAGGAGGAGGAGGAGGAGGAGGAGGUGCUGUCUGAGCUGCUGCUGUCUCCUCUACAAGACGACUAACAGUUAAACUACAGUGUUGAUUCAGGAGGAGGAGGAGGAGGGGGUGCUGCCUGAGCUGCUGUCUCCUCUACUAGACGACUAACAGUUAAACUACAGUGUUGAUUCAGGAGGAGGAGGAGGAGGUGCUGCCUGAGCUGCUGUCCCCUCUACUAGACGACUAACAGUUAAACUACAGCUUUGAUUCAGGAGGAGGAGGAGGAGGAGGAGGAGGUGCUGCCUGAGCUGCUGUCUCCUCUACUAGACGACUAACAGUUAAACUACAGUGUUGAUUCAGGAGGAGGAGGAGGAGGAGGAGGUGCUGCCUGAGCUGCUGUCUCCUCUACUAGACGACUAACAGUUAAACUACAGUGUUG
rnacentral:lncRNA from 1 species